rnacentral:rRNA from 1 species
GACGAACGCUGGCGGCGUGCCUAAUACAUGCAAGUAGAACGCACAGUUUAUACCGUAGCCUGCUACACCAUAAACUGUGAGUUGCGAACGGGUGAGUAACGCGUAGGUAACCUGCCUGGUAGCGGGGGAUAACUAUUGGAAACGAUAGCUAAUACCGCAUAAUAUUGAUUAUUGCAUGAUAAUUGAUUGAAAGAUGCUAUUGCAUCACUACCAGAUGGACCUGCGUUGUAUUAGCUAGUAGGUGAGGUAACGGCUCACCUAGGCGACGAUACAUAGCCGACCUGAGAGGGUGAUCGGCCACACUGGGACUGAGACACGGCCCAGACUCCUACGGGAGGCAGCAGUAGGGAAUCUUCGGCAAUGGACGAAAGUCUGACCGAGCAACGCCGCGUGAGUGAAGAAGGUUUUCGGAUCGUAAAGCUCUGUUGUAAGAGAAGAACGGGUGUGAGAGUGGAAAGUUCACACUGUGACGGUAUCUUACCAGAAAGGGACGGCUAACUACGUG